AUGCAGCCUCUUGCUCAUGGGGUUCUGCACCCCGGGUUUCCCUGGUCACUCUGUACCUGUCUCUGGGACACCCAUGGCCUCUAUAACCACUUUGCAGUUUCUUUUCCUUUAAGGAAGUCCAGUGUUUUCCUCACUGGACAUCCUGCUCCUUCCUGGGUGGACUCCCUUAUCAAAGCCUCUCCAGCUGGGCAGACAACUGGCCCCAAGCAGCUGCCGCCCUGCAGGUGUAUGAGCAAACAUGGGAGCAGAUGCCCUGGGAGUGAGAUCUGCUGCGGGGACCCAGCUGGGGCAUCUCCCCUGCAUCCCUCCUGCGGACGCCAGCGCCAGUGCCCAGUGGGCCCCUACACAGCUGAGUUGCAGGCUCUGCGGACUCCCAGAUCCCAGGGUUAG
rnacentral:lncRNA from 1 species